AUGCCCUUCGUAUAAUGGUAGUACGAGAGAUUCCAAACCUCUUGGCGUGGGUUCGAUUCCUACAGGGCGUGC
rnacentral:tRNA from 1 species